AUAAUACUUCCUCCGUCCGGAAAUACUUGUCGGAGAAAUGGAUGAAUCUAGACGUAUUUUAGUUAUAGAUACAUCCAGUUUUAUCCAUUUCUCCAACAAUUAUUUCGGAACGGAGGGAGUAGUAA
rfam:Triticum aestivum genome assembly, contig: Triticum_aestivum_CS42_TGACv1_scaffold_578556_7BL